rfam:Oryza nivara chromosome 1, whole genome shotgun sequence.
AAAAAGUCAAAUCCUAGAUUUUCGUAUCAAAGUUUGACUGUCCGUCUUAUAUGAAAUUUUUUUAUAAUUCGUAUUUUCAUUGUUGUUUGAUGAUAAAACAUGAUUAAUAUUUUAUGUGUGACCUGUCUUUUAAAUUUUUUCAUAAUUUUUUCAAAUAAGACGGACGGUCAAACGUUGGGCACGGAAACCAGGGUUUGUCUUUUU